UUUGAAAAGUACCACCGACAGAGGUCAACAACUUGGCCAAUUCACUUACGAUAUAGAGGGUCCUCUUGUACAGACGUUCCCUAUUUCCAAUUCGAAUUCAUAUGAAUUCGUGGAAUUCCGAGUUUUAACGAAUCAUGGUAAUCCGGACUUCACGUGUGUAUAUAGGUUUAGAGUACAUGGCAGUCUGGAGAAAUCCUGAAAACUUUUAUUCUAUAUUUUUAUUUAUAUAUUCAAUAAACCAUAUAAGGUGAA